rnacentral:tRNA from 1 species
GGGGAUUUAGCUCAGCGGCAUAAGCGCCUGCCUUGCAAGCAGGCAGUCCUGAGUUUAAUCCCCG